rnacentral:hammerhead_ribozyme from 1 species
AUUCAGCUGACGAGUCUCAAAUAGAAUGAAACGCGCGUUCUGGAU